rnacentral:lncRNA from 1 species
UGUCUACUUUUUUUGUAUGGUAAACUUCAAAUACCAUUUCUGUAGUUUCACACUUUCUUACUUUAGUAUUAUGUAUUUUAAAGUAUAUUAAGUUAGUAUUAUAUUGUUUUAUUUUUAUCUUUUCGUCAGUUUUUUUGUUAUUAUUUUGUUAAAUUAUAUACAAAAACUUCAGAUACCUUAUCUAGGUUUAUCAAAUAGCAUAUAUGUGUGGAUAUAUAUUAGAUGUGUGGCUAUAUAUUAUUUUAUACACCUCAAAAUAGCAUAUAUGUGUACUUUUUUUAGGGUAAAACUUCAAAUACCAAUAGAGUAGUUUCACACAUUUUCACUUUAGUAUCUUGUGUUUUAAAGUGUAUCAAGUUAGUGUUAUGUGAUUUUAUUUUUAUCUCUUCGUCAGUUUUUUUGUUAAUAUUUUAUUAAAUUAUAUACAAAAACUUUAGAUACUCUAUCUGGACUUAUUAAAUAUUUACUCUAGUACUCUUUAACUUUAACUUUGUCACUGAUUUAACGAAAAAAUUUAAUAAAAUUAAUAAUAAAAGAAUAAAAAUAAAACUACAGUACGCUAAAUUGAUAUGGUUUGAAUUAAAGGGUACUAAAAUAAGAAUAUUAAAAUUUUUUUUUUAAAAAAAAAUAUA